AGACAACCAAACUCCAUCAAUCAAGAGGAACUUAAUCCAGGGAGGCAUGUAGAAGAGCCUAUUUACAUCAUUAACUUGCCAACUUUGUGUAUAUACAUGUGCAGACACGCAUGCAUAAUAUACCAUAAGGCAGCAUAACUGAUAGUGGACCUUAAGGGUUCUUCUGCUCACUGGGUCAGAAGCAUCCGAUUUCCUGUCAUCGGUUGCGGUUCAGCCAUGUUAAUACUGAAAGUAUAAGAAUAUCAUAAUCCCAGAGUGAUAUAAAGACCUUUCCAAGGAAGAUGAGAUACCCGGAGGCUGUGAAGGAGAAGUCUGAAGGAUUUGAACGCGUUCAAAUGAAAACCUUUGGUUCAGCAAAACACCAGAAACAAAUUCAAAAGAUAAAAUACACUCCGGAGAAGCCCAUUCUCUCAACGCAUCUGACAGUUCACAAAGAGCAACUGCAGUCCAACUUAAAAAAUAAAGAAAAUGGUAGGAAAAUGGGCAACAUGCACUGAGGCAAUAUAUAAGAAGAAGGAAUGCGCAAUUAAUCAACAAAAGCCUGCUCUUUCCUAACGAGUGAAGAUACAAGCUUAGUAAAUAUUAAAAUUUAUUGAAGAUAAAAAUGGACACUUCCGGCCAUAUAUAAAAGCAUUGUUGGUAAGAGAGUGGGGUAAUUGACAUGCUCCUGGGAAAUAAUACGCAUUCAGACAACCUCUAAUGAGUGAAUCCACUGGGGGUAUCCACUAGGAAUAGAAAACGACCACCAAUGCCCAAGUUUGUGGUCCAGAAUUUGAGCAGCGAUCUAACAAAGUAGAGUCUCCCCCUGUGUCAUGGGCCCCACUUCUUAAGCAAAGAAGAAUGCCUCAUUUUGGUAACUCACCCAAAUAAACAGAAAUUUUUUUUGAUAAUCUUAUCGCAUUUAUUUGGUUAAGUCUGAGGCAGAAUAUUUUUCUCCUUUGUAUCUUUGUUUUGUUUUGUUUUAAUCCUUGAAGUUUAUUACCAAACUACAUCUUGGUGUUUCUUCAGGAUGUGAACAGGCCUUUCUAUUCUCAAUUAAGUGUUUCUUUCCUUUAAUUCAGGAAUCUUCUAAUCAUGUAUUUUAAUUUCUUUUUCUGUCAUCCCUCCCCACGCCAUAAGCUACCAGUCACUAUACAUGUUGGAGCUCUCUUUAUUGUGCCAUAGAUCUCUGAUGUCAUGUCUUUAGUCAUUAUUUUGUGUCAGAAAUUUUUGUUCUUCCGGGGACAUCUGGCAAUAUCUAGAGACAUGCUACUGGCACCUAUAGAAAUGCUAGUGACUUAUUAUGGGUAGAGGCUAAAGAUGCUGCUAAAUAUCCUACAAUGCCCAGGACAGCCACUGCCACAACAAAGAAUUAUGCAGUCCACAAUGUCCAUAGUGCUAAGGAGAAGAAACCCUGUCCUAGGGUCAAGGUUGGAUGCUGACAAGACUAAUUUCAAGUGAUUUCAAACGAUUGUGGGGAAAAUACCCAGAAGUUGACAGGAGCAAUAUGUAGAUAUUUCCUUCUGUAAAUUAUAUUUCCCUAAUGCUAAUGCUGGAGCAUUUGGAAACACGUGUAUAAAUAUUUGAAGCACAAAACCAGAGAGAUGCUCUUAUGUAUUUAGCUUCUAGUUUUAAAUAAUAGAUACUACAAUAAACCUUGAUUAAACCUUGAUUAUCUG
rnacentral:lncRNA from 10 species